UACAGAGGUCUCAAGCGUUGUUCGGAUUCAUUGGGUGUAAAGGGUGCGUAGGUGGCGUGGUAAGUCGGAUGUGAAAUCCCGGGGCUCAACCCCGGAACUGCAUUCGAUACUGCCUUGCUAGAGUACUGGAGAGGAGAUUGGAAUUUACGGUGUAGCAGUGAAAUGCGUAGAUAUCGUAAGGAAGACCAGUGGCGAAGGCGGAUCUCUGGACAGUUACUGACACUGAGGCACGAAGGCCAGGGGAGCAAACGGG
rnacentral:rRNA from 1 species